AGUGAACGCUGGCGGCGUGCCUAAUACAUUCAAGUCGAACGGAGUGACGCACGGGUGAGUAAUGUAUAGCUAAUCUGCCCUACACUAGAGGACAACAGUUGGACACGGCUACUAAUACUCUAUAGUGUAGGAUGAGGCUAUAUUGUAUAAGCUAGUUGGUUAGGUAAGUGCUCACCAAUGGUAUGACGCAGAACUCGUCUGUUAGGCGGAUCAGUCACACUGGAACUGAGACACGGGGCAGACUCCUACGGGAGGCAGCAGUAGGGAAUAUGGCUCAAGGGGGGAGACCCUGAAGCAGAAACGCCGCGUGGAGGAGUACACUUUUCGGAGCGUAAACUCCUUUUGUUAGUCAAGCGUUACCUAACGAAUAAGGACCGGCGAACUCCGUGCCAGCAGCCGCGGUAAUAC
rnacentral:rRNA from 1 species